CAGUGGUUCGACUAAAUUUUGGAGGUAAGAAAUCUUUGUAGUUCUCCGUAUUGUGACGUGAAAACUGAAGAGAUUUUUUACAGACUUCACAAAUUUGAAAUAUAUUCCUG
ensembl:miRNA mir-255 ncRNA